UGUGCCGCAAGGCGGACUUAUGCUGUACCCACAGCGUAGCGGCUAGAACCCGCAUCGGACUUCUAACCAAGGAGAAAACAAAUG
rnacentral:ncRNA from 1 species